rnacentral:rRNA from 1 species
UACGUAGGGGGCAAGCGUUGUCCGGAAUUAUUGGGCGUAAAGGGCGCGUAGGCGGCUCUUCAAGUGACGGGUGAAAUCCCUCGGCUUAACCGAGGAACUGCCUGUCAGACUGGAAGGCUUGAGACCGGGAGAGGUGAGUGGAAUUCCCAGUGUAGCGGUGAAAUGCGUAGAUAUUGGGAGGAACACCAGUGGCGAAGGCGGCUCACUGGACCGGAACUGACGCUGAGGCGCGAAAGCGUGGGGAGCAAACAGG